AGUGAACGCUGGCGGUAGGCCUAACACAUGCAAAUCGAACGGCAGCACAGUAAGAGCUUGCUCUUACGGGUGGCGAGUGGCGGACGGGUGAGGAAUACAUCGGAAUCUACUUUUUCGUGGGGGAUAACGUAGGGAAACUUACGCUAAUACCGCAUACGACCUACGGGUGAAAGCAGGGGAUCUUCGGACCUUGCGCGAUUGAAUGAGCCGAUGUCGGAUUAGCUAGUUGGCGGGGUAAGGCCCACCAAGGCGACGAUCCGUAGCUGGUCUGAGAGGAUGAUCAGCCACACUGGAACUGAGACACGGUCCAGACUCCUACGGGAGGCAGCAGUGGGGAAUAUUGGACAAUGGGCGCAAGCCUGAUCCAGCCAUACCGCGUGGGUGAAGAAGGCCUUCGGGUUGUAAAGCCCUUUUGUUGGGAAAGAAAAGCAGCAGGUUAAUACCCCGCUGUUCUGACGGUACCCAAAGAAUAAGCACCGGCUAACUUCGUG
rnacentral:rRNA from 1 species